rnacentral:rRNA from 1 species
UACGUAGGGGGCUAGCGUUGUCCGGAAUCAUUGGGCGUAAAGAGCGUGUAGGCGGUCCGGUAAGUCCGCUGUGAAAGUCGGGGGCUCAACCCUGGAAUGCCGGUGGAAACUGUCGGGCUGGAGUCCGGAAGAGGCGAGUGGAAUUCCUGGUGUAGCGGUGAAAUGCGCAGAUAUCAGGAGGAACACCAAUGGCGAAGGCAGCUCGCUGGGACGGUACUGACGCUGAGACGCGAAAGCGUGGGGAGCAAACAGG